GUAAAUCAUGUGCUUUUAUUUCUAGUGCAUUCUGACAUAUAAAGAGACUGUUACAUUUGGAUACAUUGGAAACAAGAGUCUGAAGCAUUUUAAUUUGGAUUUUAAUAUGGAAGGUUCUGAAUAUUGGCAAUACAGUUGAUUCACUCUAUCCUUCAUUCUAUUAUAUAGAGGAAAUUCAAAUGGGAAGAACUUUAUUACAAUAAUCCCAGAUAUUAAAUCUAUUUGACUGGCCUUAACCAUCACAUUUUCAAUAUCCCUGGUUGCCCACAAUUGAAUUUUCUUUUAGGGGAAAUUUUAGAAAUGAUAAAUUACAUGUAUGAGGAAUAUUUGAGAGAGAAUUGUUGCAAUUUAAAUACUAGAUUUAAAAUGCUUCACAUUUCCUCUUGUGGUUAUACACUGAACAGAUGUAUUACAGAAUACUGUAUUUAGUGGCUUAAAACAGUGGCUUUAAUAUCACUUGUGCACAUUGUCAACUAAAUAUAAACAAAUGUUCUCGUGAUUUUUCUAUUGUGUAACCUAGUAGUGUAACAUUUGGGCCCACAAGGAUCAAACUGUGAUAUCUCAAUACUUUAUUUUCUUUCUUUCUUUUUUCUUUUUUUUUAAAACAAGCAAAAAAACAAACAAAAAAAAACUAGUACCCUGCAAUUGUCAUGACCUGUCUUGAAUUUGGCAACUUCAAACACAGCAGUGACUAUUUCUUACAGAAUGCAUUUUUGAUGUUAAAAAACUAGACAAUGCAGGUGUCUUUAAACACAUUUUUUAAAGUUUUAUUUUUUUUAAAUGUAAACAGCAUCUUAAAAAUGUGCGGGAUGCGGCACGACCAUUAAAGACAUCCAAAAAAACAGUAAAAAAAAUAUAAAAAAAAACAGCACAAAAAAGUGUUCGGUGUGAACGGCCCCUUAUACUUCACAUUCCCUCAUAAUUUUCAGCAUCUUGAUAUGACAGACCCAUGUUGGUGGAUGUCGUGUGCAUGAAAUAUCUCGUACUUCAUUACACAGCUUUGAACAUGUCAUCAUUCCUUGAUUUUGCCAAUAAACAAAACACUUUAACUUAGAAAAAUAACUUGUACAUUAAAGUAUUGUGUACAAAAUAAAUUAACUUGCUUUUUAACCUUUUUAUAUGAAAGAGCAUGCAUUAUACAAAUUGUGCUGUUGUGGAAAUUGAUAUGUAGGAGCUAUAGAAAGCAGAGGCACAAUUAACUUACAAGCAGCUCUAAUAAAGGCAGUAAAGCACAUUGACAGCUGGGUCACUUUAAUAUUGAGCUUUAGCGCACUAAAGGCGGGCGUACACGAUGUGAUUUUCGGCUGUCGUGCAAGCUCCCGACCGAAUCUUUCCAGUCGGGAGAGAUCGCGUGGAAAUCAAUUCACUUGAUGGGAUCUUCUGUGGUCGCGGCUCACAUCGUGUCAGAGGAAUUACGAGUGGAGCCGAGGGGCUUCCGAGCACCCAUGACCUCACGAUAAUUUUUUUUAACUGUUUGAAAACAUUCUGGAUGAUUUGGCUCCCUACCUGAAUUUGGCUAAUCAGGAGAAUCAAUGAAAUCUGAGAGAAAUGGUCUUGUUAAAACUGUAUUUUCCCAAAUUAUUCACGACCACAUCACUGGGAAGGCUUCUACAGAAAUGCCAUGCUGUUCUCUGGUCUUCAAACAAAUCAAAUCACUCUGACGGACAGUUUUACCAUUUCUGUCAUGGUCUAUUUUUAUUUAUCAUACUUGCAUUCGUUUCAGUUCUAGGGUGAAACUUAGGGGGUAUAUCAUCUGUUACAAUUGUAUAUACACGAUAGUGGAUAUGUGUUAGAAGAUUUUUUUUUAACUCUUCAAGUGCAUGUCUAGUGAAACAAAGGUCUUCCAAGUUGAAAGUUCAACCUGUUAAUCAACUACUGUGCUAAAACAAGAUUUUUAAACUUUGCAGUGUGCGGCUUUAAAGUGCAUUCCCAUGGACAAGACCUCAUGGAUCUUCUUCAGAAUAUCUCCUAUCAACAUGCAAGCAGUGGCAGAGAUAAGAAGGCUGUAACCUACAUCUAAAGCUGAAUAAUACAGGUAGCCAACUCCACUAAAAUAACUCUGAAUUCUGGACUAAACGUCAUGCUUGCACUUAAAUUAAAUCCAAGUAUAAGCGACAGAAACAUGCAUGAAUUUUCUGCACUUUCUUUGUAAUUUUGUACAUUGUGUGCUCUUAAUUUUCAUGCAGUAACUGGCAGCAACACACUGAUGUUAUGAUUGAUGCAUGCAGUUAUAAAAACACACAGCCUCCCUUCGAAUUCUGAAUCUGUCAAAUGUUAGACAGUAUCCUUUUUUUUUUAUCUGCAGAUGAGUUUUCAGCUAAUGCAGCCCCCAUGCCAGUAUUUCAUUUUAUUUCUAAAUCGCAAGCUACGAGGAAUUGCAAUGUCCUCCUCUGGCUUUAUGUCUUAUAAUGAUAAAUAGCGUGAAAAUUGAUGGGAUUACUCCGGAAUUCCCCAGGUCGUGAAGUCGUGUCGUGUACGAUUGGACCUGUACGGUGUUCAGAUAAACUGACUCAUAAAUUGUGCAAGGGCUCACAACCUCCCGAGUGUCAGAACUUGCACCGUGUACGCCCAGCCUAAGAGAGAGUGGAUUUCUGAAACCAUAUUACAGCAAACCAAUGGCAAUCAAAUUUACACCACAUGAUACAAAUGCAUACACAUGUGCAACUAGUCAAUGCACAUAUAGUUCUGCAGUUCAUUCAAAAGCUAAUGCAUUAACAAGUUGACCAAAAAACAUUUAUAGACAGCAAUUUUGUUCCCUGCAAUUGAAAUACUUGUUUAAUGUAAUAGGCGGGAUAACCAAGCAGCUUGACAUUUUGGAAAAACAGUACAAAAUAAUUUGUACUUUAAAAAUGUAUGUAUAGCUGCCCUCUUAGGACGCCUACACACUAGAGAAAGCUCAGACAGUGCAUUUGACAGUAGUGUCUAGAAGGUAGAAGACCUCCAUCUGUGGAAAUCUUGUGACAGUCGCAACUAGGGUUAAGAACGAUAAGGUUAGGUUUACAGGUAAUGUUAGGGUUAAGAACGAUAAGGUUAGGUUUACAGGUAAUGUUAGGGUUAAGAACGAUAAGGUUAGGUUUACAGGUAAUGUUAGGGUUAAGAACGAUAAGGUUAGGUUUACAGGUAAUGUUAGGGUUAAGAACGAUAAGGUUAGGUUUACAGGUAAUGUUAGGGUUAAGAACGAUAAGGUUAGGUUUACAGGUAAUGUUAGGGUUAAGAACGAUAAGGUUAGGUUUACAGGUAAUGUUAGGGUUAAGAACGAUAAGGUUAGGUUUACAGGUAAUGUUAGGGUUAAGAACGAUAAGGUUAGGUUUACAGGUAAUGUUAGGGUUAAGAACGAUAAGGUUAGGUUUACAGGUAAUGUUAGGGUUAAGAACGAUAAGGUUAGGUUUACAGGCAAUGUUAGGGUUAAGAACGAUAAGGUUAGGUUUACAGGCAAUGUUAGGGUUAAGAACGAUAAGGUUAGGUUUACAGGCAAUGUUAGGGUUAAGAACGAUAAGGUUAGGUUUACAGGUAAUGUUAGGGUUAAGAACAAUAAGGUUAGGUUUAGGAUUAUUUUUAUGGAGGUUAGGGUUAAGAAUGAUAAGGUUAGGUUUGGGGUAAGGGUUGAGUUAGGGGGAUAUCCAAAUAAACACAAUGAACAUAUUGGGCCUAAUUCCUGA